rnacentral:rRNA from 1 species
AUGGCUCAGGAUGAACGCUAGCUACAGGCUUAACACAUGCAAGUCGAGGGGAAACGACAUCGAAAGCUUGCUUUUGGUGGGCGUCGACCGGCGCACGGGUGAGUAACGCGUAUCCAACCUGCCACCACUUGGGGAUAACCUUGCGAAAGUAAGACUAAUACCCAAUGAUAUCCCACGAAGGCAUCGGAAUGGGAUUAAAGAUUUAUCGGUGAUGGAUGGGGAUGCGUCUGAUUAGCUUGUUGGCGGGGUAACGGCCCACCAAGGCGACAAUCAGUAGGGGUUCUGAGAGGAAGGUCCCCCACAUUGGAACUGAGACACGGUCCAAACUCCUACGGGAGGCAGCAGUGAGGAAUAUUGGUCAAUGGACGAGAGUCUGAACCAGCCAAGUAGCGUGCAGGAAGACUGCCCUAUGGGUUGUAAACUUCUUUUGUAAGAGAAUAAAGUCAGUCUCGUGUAGACUGUUUGCAUGUAUCUUACGAAUAAGGACCAGCUAACUCCGUG